AGGUCCAAUGGCUUGUUGGGCUCACUGCCCACCUCUGGCACCGUUUCAGUUGUGCUGUUUCUCCUGGUCAGACAGAUAUCUUCACCAAGGGCAAUCGAAGCUUUUCCUGUUUUCUGGCUCUUGAGACAGGACACUUCAGAGGAGUCAUGUAAUUGAACUGGCAGAAAAAUAAGGAAUAGGCCCCCGUGAAGGCACCAUUGUGAAAGAAGAGCUGCUUGCCUGACCUGUCCAUCCUGGGUUCAGCAGCAUCGUCACUCCAGACACUUGGAUCACAAGAGGAAGAAAGAUGUGCAUGCCCUGGGGUUUGAAAAUACGAGCACAAGCGAAGAUAUAAUUUUGAUGGACAGUGCUGGUGAGGACCGUCUCCCCUCUGGGUGAGCAGAACACCUGAGAACCAAGGUCACAGAACCUGGAGAAAGGACUAUAAUAAAGAGGUACACUGAUCCAGUCAAUGGAGGAUGUCAAGUUUGGUCUUAAUCCAGAUUUUAAUAUAAAAAUCCGCCACAAGGGAGAGAGCAAGUGAGUGUUGCAACACUCAAUGGUUUUGUAAAGGGCAACACGAAUCAGUACUCCACCAGAGUCCCCUCAAAUGGAUAGUACAGAGGAAGCUUGCUGGCAUCCUGACUGCCUCAGAGAGGCACCUUCAUCACCUCUGAGAUGGCAUCUGACAUUUCCUCCAGCCAGUUACAUGCAGGUGCCCUGUGCAUCAAGAAAGAUUGAAGGAGAACCUGGGUGGCUCAGUCAGUUAAACAUCUGCCUUUGGCUCUGGUCAUGAUCCCAGGUCCUGGAAUGGAGCCCUGCAUUGGGCUCCCUGCUCAGCAAGG